rnacentral:rRNA from 1 species
CCUACGGGAGGCAGCAGUGGGGAAUAUUGGACAAUGGGCGAAAGCCUGAUCCAGCAAUUCCGCGUGUGUGAAGAAGGCCUUCGGGUUGUAAAGCACUUUAGUGGGGGAAGAAACAGCUUGGCCACACCAAGCCUUGACGGUACCCCAAGAAUAAGCACCGGCUAACUCUGUGCCAGCAGCCGCGGUAAUACAGAGGGUGCAAGCGUUAAUCGGAUUUACUGGGCGUAAAGGGUGCGUAGGUGGCUAUUUAAGUCGGAUGUGAAAGCCCGGGGCUCAACCUCGGAAUUGCAUUCGAUACUGAGUGGCUAGAGUUCGGUAGAGGGCGGCGGAAUUUCCGGUGUAGCGGUGAAAUGCGUAGAUAUCGGAAGGAACAUCAAUGGCGAAGGCAGCCGCCUGGGCCUGGACUGACACUGAGGCACGAAAGCGUGGGUAGCAAACAGGAUUAGAUACCCUGGUAGUCCACGCCGUAAACGAUGAGAACUUGACGUUGGUUCGUUUUACGAAUCGGUGUCGCAGCUAACGCGAUAAGUUCUCCGCCUGGGGAGUACGGCCGCAAGGUUGAAAACUCAAAAGUAGAAGUUACGGACGCGUAGAGUACGUCGACCGAACGGCACCGACGGAGGGUAGAGG